rnacentral:rRNA from 1 species
GACGUGACUUCAGAGUUUGAUCCUGGCUCAGAUUGAACGCUGGCGGCAUGCCUUACACAUGCAAGUCGAACGGUAACAGGUCUUCGGACGCUGACGAGUGGCGAACGGGUGAGUAAUACAUCGGAACGUGCCCAGUCGUGGGGGAUAACUACUCGAAAGAGUAGCUAAUACCGCAUACGAUCUGAGGAUGAAAGCGGGGGACCUUCGGGCCUCGCGCGAUUGGAGCGGCCGAUGGCAGAUUAGGUAGUUGGUGGGAUAAAAGCUUACCAAGCCGACGAUCUGUAGCUGGUCUGAGAGGACGACCAGCCACACUGGGACUGAGACACGGCCCAG